GAGUUUGAUCCUGGCUCAGGAUGAACGCUGGCGGUCUGCUUAACACAUGCAAGUCGAACGGAAGUAGCAAUACUUUAGUGGCGGACGGGUGAGUAACGCGUGAGAAUCUACCUUCAGGACGGAGACAACAGUUGGAAACGACUGCUAACCCCCGAUGUACCGCAAGGGCAAAUAUUUAUAGCCUGAAGAAGAGCUCGCGUCCGAUUAGCUAGUUGGGGGGGUAAAAGCCCACCAAGGCGACGAUCGGUAGCUGGUCUGAGAGGACGAUCAGCCACACUGGGACUGAGACACGGCCCAGACUCCUACGGGAGGCAGCAGUGGGGAAUUUUCCGCAAUGGGCGCAAGCCUGACGGAGCAAGACCGCGUGGGGGAGGAAGGCUCUUGGGUUGUAAACCCCUUUUCUCUGGGAAGAACAAAAUGACGGUACCAGAGGAAU
rnacentral:rRNA from 1 species